rnacentral:lncRNA from 1 species
CUGAAAGGUUGGAGCAUCAAAGCAGCACAUAAUUUAUGUGUAAAAUCCACAUUGACAUCUAUUUUAGCUGCAAGAAAAGACCAACUAAUUCAAGAAAGAUAUACAAAAAUCAAAUCUUUAUAUUAUAAAGCACAAAAAAGAACUAUCAGCACCCAAUAUGGACAACCAAAAACACAGUAUAGCACAAUUCAAAAUAAAUCAAUCUUUUUUUUUGCGAGAAAUGUAUGCAAAAAAGUAAGUUUCAACCUUUGCAAUCAUAAAGCACAAAAAAAACUACAGGUACCCAUUAUUGGCACCCAAAAAAAGCACUUAAUAGAAUACAAAGUUUAGAGAGUUAUGAGAUAAUAAAUUUGGGUUUUAUUUGCGAAAUGUAGGGGGGAAAGCUUAUUUCCAAUACAUAAAGCACAAACCAAAACUAUAGGUACCCAAAAAACACUUCAUAAAACACAAAAUUUCAGAGGUUAUGAGAUAAAUUCAAGAAAAGUAUAUAAAAAUUCAAUCUUCACAAUUUUAAGCGCACAGACCAAAAGUAUCAGCACCCGAAAACACAGUUGCGUAGCACAAUUCAAGAGAAAAUUGUCAUUCUUUAGUAAGAGAAUGUAAGGGAAAACAAAUCAAUCUUCGCAAUCAUAAAGCACAAACUAAAACUAUAGGUACCCAUUAUUAAAAAGACUUCAUACAACACAAAAUUUCAAAGAGUUAAUAAACAUGGGUUUUAUUAGAGAAAUGGGAGAGAAAAAGACUCUACCUUUUCCAGCAUGAAUGCUUUUCUGAGCACCCAUUAGUCCAUUAGUGAGUUGAGUUUCCCACCAUUCAAGAAUUGAUUGAAACUUGUGAGUACUAAAUAAGUCUUGUUGUAUUGAGUGGCUCUAUGUUUUUUGUGUUCAGUUUCUUUGUAAUAUAAAAUAUAAAGGAAUAUAAAGAAAAGAGAAGAAGAGGGAAAAUGGGAAAUGGGAAUCGGGGAGCUGUCAAGUUAUCUCUUGCUUUCUGGAUUGGCUUACGCCACUAUGCCUGCCCUUCCC